AGUGAGCGCUGGCGGUAGACCUAACACAUGCAAGUCGAACGGCAGCACAGUAAGAGCUUGCUCUUACGGGUGGCGAGUGGCGGACGGGUGAGGAAUACAUCGGAAUCUACUUUUUCGUGGGGGAUAACGUAGGGAAACUUACGCUAAUACCGCAUACGACCUACGGGUGAAAGCAGGGGAUCUUCGGACCUUGCGCGAUUGAAUGAGCCGAUGUCGGAUUAGCUAGUUGGCGGGGUAAAGGCCCACCAAGGCGACGAUCCGUAGCUGGUCUGAGAGGAUGAUCAGCCACACUGGAACUGAGACACGGUCCAGACUCCUACGGGAGGCAGCAGUGGGGAAUAUUGGACAAAGGGCGCAAGCCUGAUCCAGCCAUACCGCGUGGGUGAAGAAGGCCUUCGGGUUGUAAAGCCCUUUUGUUGGGAAAGAAAAGCAGCAGGUUAAUACCCCGCUGUUCUGACGGUACCCAAAGAAUAAGCACCGGCUAACUUCGUG
rnacentral:rRNA from 1 species